UACGGAGGGUGCGAGCGUUGUCCGGAAUCACUGGGCGUAAAGGGCGCGUAGGCGGCCUGAUAAGUAGGGGGUGAAAUCCUGCGGCUUAACCGCAGGGCUGCCUUCUAAACUGUCGGGCUCGAGCACAGUAGAGGCAGGUGGAAUUCCCGGUGUAGCGGUGGAAUGCGUAGAUAUCAGGAGGAACACCGGUGGCGAAGGCGUCCCUCUGGCCGGAUACUGACGCUGAGACGCGAAAGCGUGGGGAGCAAACAGG
rnacentral:rRNA from 1 species